rnacentral:rRNA from 1 species
GACGAACGCUGGCGGCGUGCUUAACACAUGCAAGUCGGACGAUGAAGAAGAGCUUGCUCUUCGGAUUAGUGGCGAACGGGUGAGUAACACGUGACUAACCUGCCCCUUUCUCUGGGAUAACGCUCCGAAAGGAGUGCUAAUACCGGAUACUCACAUCGAGGCACAUGCCUUGAUGUGGAAAGUUUUUCGGAAAGGGAUGGAGUCUCGGCCUAUCAGCUUGUUGGUGAGGUAACGGCUCACCAAGGCGACGACGGGUAGCCGGCCUGAGAGGGCGAUCGGCCACACUGGGACUGAGACACGGCCCAGACUCCUACGGGAGGCAGCAGUGGGGAAUAUUGCACAAUGGGCGAAAGCCUGAUGCAGCGACGCCGCGUGAGGGAUGAAGGUCUUCGGAUUGUAAACCUCUUUCAGUAGGGACGAAGCGAAAGUGACGGUACCUAAAGAGGAAGCACCGGCUAACUACGUGCCAGCCGCCGCCGUAA